rnacentral:rRNA from 1 species
AGAGCGAACGCUGGCGGCAGGCCUAACACAUGCAAGUCGAACGGACUCUUCGGAGUUAGUGGCGGACGGGUGAGUAACACGUGGGAACGUGCCUUUUGGUUCGGAAUAGCUCCUGGAAACGGGUGGUAAUGCCGAAUGUGCCCUUCGGGGGAAAGAUUUAUCGCCAUUAGAGCGGCCCGCGUCUGAUUAGCUAGUUGGUGAGGUAAAGGCUCACCAAGGCGACGAUCAGUAGCUGGUCUGAGAGGAUGACCAGCCACAUUGGGACUGAGACACGGCCAAACUCCUACGGGAGGCAGCAGUGGGGAAUCUUGCGCAAUGGGCGAAAGCCUGACGCAGCCAUGCCGCGUGAAUGAUGAAGGUCUUAGGAUUGUAAAAUUCUUUCACCGGGACGAUAAUGACGGUACCCGGAGAAGAAGCCCAGGCUAACUCGUGCCAGCAGCCGC